rnacentral:lncRNA from 1 species
UUUUUUUUUUUUUUUUGGUCUUUUCUAGGGCCGCUCCCAUGGCAUAUGGAGGAUCCCAGGCUAGGGGUCUAAUCGGAGCUGUAGCUGCCAAGCCUAUGCCACAGCCACAGCAACACAGGAUCCGAGCUGCAUCUGCAACCUACACCAUGGUUCACGGCAACGCCGGAUCCUUAGCCCACUGAGCAAGGCCAGGGAUCGAACCCGCAACCUCAUGGUUCCUAGUCGGAUUCGUUAACCAUUGAGCCACGACGGAAACUCCAUAAAUGUUAUAUAUACUCUUAACGGUUAAACUAAAGGGCAAUCAACACAACAUGGUCCCCUAUAACCUUAAAUCAUCCAAUCACAAGAAAUCACUCCCCUCAAAAAAAAAAAAAACAACUUGUAUUUUAAGCUCUGAAGAUGACUACUUCAACAUAUGUGCAGGAAUAAAGCAAUUCAUUCCAAUUUGCCCCAGUCAACCAAGCCAGACACCUCCUGUUUCAUUUAUGUUCUCACUGCCAGGAAGCAAAGGAAUGUAGCUGGACAUGAAGCAGGCUCUGCAACCCUAAACAUAUAUAAACUCCACAAUACCUGGGACCACAGGGAAACAGCUAAUCAACUGACCCAAUAAAGCACUAUUCCUAUGUGUUUUUUCUUAAAGAGGACUUCUGGCUGGCUCUCCUUAAAAUACACUAGAUUGAAAUCUGACCGCAACCUACGAUUAAUGGUAUCUUGGUAUUUUCCUUUCUUAGUGAUAUACAAACAACGGUGCAUCUGACAACUCUCGGCAUCUCAGAAUGGGUUACCUUGGGCAGGUUACUAGGUUGAAUCACAACAAUAAGCUUCUCAAGUUCCUGUCGUGGCUCAGUGGUAACGAACCCGACUAGGAUCUAUGAGGAUAUGGGUUCGAUCCCUGGCCUCGCUCAGUGGGUUAAGGAUCCAGCGUUGCCAUGAGGUAUCAUGUAGGUCGCAGAUGCAGCUCAGAUCCCUCGUUGCUGUGGCUCUGGUGUAGACCAGCAGCUACAUCUCUGAUUGGACCCCUAGCCUGGGAACUUCCAAUGCUGAGGGUGUGGCCCUAAAAACCAAAAAAAAUUUUUUAAAUAAAAAUAACAAUAAGCUUCUCAAGGCCUCUGUCUCCUCAUAUGGAAAAUGGCAGUAACGACUUGAUCUGAUAUGAGUGUGAUUAUAAUGUUAAAUUAUUAACAGACAUAAAGUGUUCAAACCAGCCUGGCACAUAGCAAGCACUACACUGACCUGACACUGACAGAUCAUUCCUUCCAGGGUUUUGUUUUUGAUUAAGUUGUAUCUCUCCAUCAGCACACUCACUCUCUCCCCCAUAAUCAGUGACAAAUCCAUAAGACGGCCAAAUUUGGUUUUAUUAUACAGCAUGUCAACUUUUAUAGGAAACUAACUGACCGUUAUGGAAAGUAAAGCUAUAUAACUUUAACCCCUCACUAGUAUGCUGUUACAACUACAUGCUGGGCAGAAAUUAAAUCAGAGCUUUUCAAGUCAUCUGGCACUGUAAUUUAGGUCAAUCGGUUACUAGUACACCAAAUGAACUAAAUAAAGCUGAAACAUAAUUUAAGAAAAGAGAUGUGUCAAUUAUCAGCGACAUUCAUCUUAGAAACUGGGAGUUCUGAUGACAAACAUUAUAGGAGCUAUGUAGCAAGACCAGUCUCUGAGCAGAAAUAUAUCCCACCAGGGGUAUAUUUUAUUCCUUCCUGAUGAAAGAAAAUCAAUCCCCCACAUUAUAGAGAAAACAAAAAACUCUAUACAUAUGCAACCCUAACAAAGGAUCAGUGUCCAAAUACAUAAAGAACUCACACAAGUCAUUAAGAAAAAGAACCUUAUGUAAAGUUACAGAAAAACAGCGAAAGAUAUAUUCACAGGAAGAACCCAAGUAGCCAAAAAACAUAUAAAAACACACUUAACCUCACCAGUAAUUAGAAAAAUGCCAAGGUAGACCACAGAAAGACAACACUGCAGAAAGUUAAGAAAUCUGGGAGUUUCCUGGUGGUCUAGUGGUUAGGACUCAGUGCUUUCACCAGUCUGGGAAGGAAGAAAGGAAAGGAAGGAGCGGGGGAGGGAGGGAAGAGAAGUGAAUAAAUCUAACACAUAGUGAAAACUGGGUGAAAAAAGGAACUUGUGCCUUAUGAGUGGCGAAGUACUUGUCUGGAAAACAUCAAAGCAAAUGAAUAUGCACAAAUAAUCCCAUUUACAAAAAGGACUUUGACAAUAACAAAACACUGCUUAUCAUGCAUAAGUAUGUACUGAAGUAGGAAAGCAUGCACAGGCCUUGGGAGCGGCCGCUCAGAUUUCCCUUCAAGAGAGAAAGAGCCAAGAGGAGUGGAAUUAGCUGACAGCCCCAGCUGCCCAGCACCUCUGCGAUCCACUGCGGCAUUCGAACCAAUGCCAGGCCAAGACUGAACACCACAGGCGUUCUAGAACAGGGCUCUCCUGCCCAAUGCACCCUAACAAACGACACCUUCACCCCAAGCCGCACAGCAAUCUCAGGCGUCUGGAUCCAAUCACCACCCUUCCUUCCGUUUUCCUUCGUAGGCGCCCACCUCCAUCCAUCCUGAACACUCUGCCACCCGACCUGCUUCCUCUCCUCUUUAUCCCUCAUAGGCACGUACCCCAGGGAACUCCUGCACAACUAACUCUAUAGGUAGGAAGCAAACUAUCACAGGAAUAACAUCAAUCACCUUCCAAUUACAGAAGGCAGGACUGGAAGAAUUAGCCUUUCCCUGCACCUGAAGCAAGUAUGUCCUAAUAUUAACAGUGUUUACACCUGAAACUAAUACAACACUGUCAAUCAACUAUACGCUGACAAUGUUUUUUACAAAAGCCAAACCAUAGUGUUUAAUCACCGUGGUGGGUAUAUGACUAUAGGUAUUAUUUUAUUUUCUAUGCGAAUGGGUUUUCUUAAUAACUCUAUCUUCACAAUUCUACUAUCCUACCUUACCAUAAUUUGCAAAAGCAUUCAAACUAUCUACUCACUUCAAUUUUAGAAAUGUAACUCUUACCUCUGGUUCUAAAAUUAUGCCACAUAUGACUCUUCCCAAUCACCGCACCAGUAACAAGGCUCUAAAACAAGAAGAGUUGGAAGUUUGGUUCCAGAGGCCUCAAGUCUACCUGGAGAUACUUUCAAUAACUGAAAGACAAAUUCAGGUCACUCUGUCUCGCUCGACCAUACGUUCUUCAUCAAGAACUCAGGAAGGCGGGACUGGAUGGACACUACAACCUUCUCUCUCAAUACUACAAUAGAGGGAAAACACAGAAAUUUCAAAGUAUCACCCCUACUGCGCAAUUUUUACUGAGUCCAUGUCUUUAAAGAAUUUGACCAAUUUGAAAAAAAAAAGAAUUUUUAGGGUUUAAUGUCAUUUCAUUUUAAUGUUAUUUUAAAUUACUUAUUUCUCUCAAACAUUUUGGCAAAACACUCUUCAUCACCUUAAACCACUUUUUUUUUUUUUUUUUUGGCUUUUUAGGUCUGCACCCACGGCAUGUGGAAGUCCCUAGGCUAGGGUCCAAUCAGAGCUACAGCUGCCGACCUACACCACAGCAACGCAGGAUCUGAGCCUCGUCUGCAACCUACACCACAGCCACAGCCACAGCCACGCCGGAUCCUUAACCCACUGAGCGAGCCUGGGAACUUCCAUAUGCUGCAGAUGCAGCCAUUAAAAAAAAAAAAAAAUCAACAACAGAAAACAUAAAACUCAACCAGAAGUUAGAUAUAUAUAUAUUAAUAAAAUUUCCAGAACACAAAACAGAAAAAAUUAGAACUACAACUUGUAUGUCUUAUUUCUAGGAUCACAAAUAUUUUCUACAACUGCUAAUUAAAGCUGUAGGAAUUAACUCAAUCCAAAUCACUGACUCAACAUUCAAUCCCAAUUCCACCUUAUUCAAACUUUCACUGUGCUGCUACAGAGAUUCUCUAUAGGAAAAAUGAUUUCAAGUUCUCUAUCCUAAAUAUAAAUACCAACUUAACACACACUCCUUAGCAAAGAUCACUGUUUUCCAUUAGAGUAAAGGGACAAAGUGAAACCUUACUUCUUAGGUCUACAUUAUGCACAGGACCUCUAAAGAAAGGCUCAGAAAUGAGGGCUAAAUUAUACAUCGAUUACAAUAAUUUAUGUAGCAGAGAGUAAAAUUUAAAAAAUGAGUUCCCUGAUAGCCUAGCAGGUAAGGAUCCAGCACUGUCACUGCUGUGAUCUGAACAGGUUUACCUAUUCUCUCUGGAUCUCAGUGUACUUUUCUGCUAUAUAAACGUUUUGGACUAUUUCUCUCUUUUCCAGGAAAACUGCAGCAGGUACAUACAACUUAAAAACAAUCAUUUUUAAAUAUCUCAGUGCAUGAUCUGCAUUCAAACGUUACAAUCCAGUAAAGCAGGCAACGCAAGGACCACUGCUUGGCAACCUAAGUCCCACGAAUGCUAAUUAGAAUAAAACAGCAAAAAUGUUUAUUUAGCAUUCACCGUGUGCCAGACACUGUGCUGGACAUUUCCCGUGUAUUAGCUCAGUUAACUCCUUCUCUUAGAGAGAUCUAUUACCUCUAUUUCACAGAUGAAAGCAAAAAUAACUUGCCCAGGGACAACACAGCUGUCAGGAAGCACUACCAAGAUCUGAACUCAGGUUUGACAAUUCUCACAGACCAAGCUCUCACAAGUCUCCUCUAUCCUGCUUCUGAAAGAAACCUGAAAUUAAAAAGAUGACUCUAACUGACAUAAUCACAGGCCAUACGUGAUGAAAAGAACUCUGAUUCACGAGGGAGGAAACUGAGGCUCCCGAGAUAAAAUGACUAGCUCUACCUUCAACAACCUUCUUAAUCACAGAGACAGGGCUUUCAACCUCCUGACACCAGCUUUAGGUGUCUCCCAGCACACGGCUUCACGCAGUUAUCACACACAGCAUUUACCGUUCUCCUGACCUCUCAUUUGGGUGAAUGCCGCCCCAAAGUAGGCCUGCAUCACAACGUAUCCACCGAAACUUAUGAAUUUUAGGGUAUCUAUAAAACUGAUUUUUACAAAAAAAUUAAAGCAUAGCAAACUAUGUGUUUAAAGAGGAACACAGAACCACCAGUAAAAAGAAAUGAAAAGCAGGUCAAGACACCCUGUUCAGGAAAAUAAUUCCACAUUAAAUCAUAACACAUUUUUUUAAUACAAAUCAACUCAAGUGACAGUUGAGCCAAUGACAACCACACAUUUUCAAAUGUAAUUAAAUAUAUUGGAUUCAAUGUUUCAAAUACAGGUUGCAUGUUUAAAGGGCCAUUACCUCAAAAAUAUUUACCAUUAAUAUUUCCCCUUCUGUAAGAGUCUUAAUUCUACUGUUGGUGAACUGUGACACUGAAAACCUACUCAGAAGUUGACAAUAAUAACACAUGCUUCAGAAAACAAAGAAUUGAGUCAACCUCAAAAUCCUGCCAUUGUGUUCCUCUAGCUAAAAGACAACAAAGAGUACCAAACAAACAAUCAAAAGAAAUAUAUAGGUUACAGCUUUUCCUUGCUUGUUGGUAAGAUCUUGGAAACAUUUACCUUUUUGUAUAGAAAAAGACUACUUGUUUCAAAAUAAAUUAUGCUGGAGUUCCCGUCGUGGCGCAGUGGUUAACGAAUCCGACUAGGAGCCAUGAAGUUGCAGGUUCAGUCCCUGGCCUUGCUCAGCGGGUUAAGGAUCUGGCGUUGCUGUGAGCUGUGGUGUGGGUCAAAGACACGGCUCGGAUCCCGAGCUGCUGUGGCUGUGGUGUAGGCCGGUGGCUACAGCUCCAAUUAGACCCCUAGCCUGGGAACCUCCUUAUGUCGCGGGAGCAGCUCAAGAAAAGGCAAAAAGACAAAAAACGAAACAAAAAAAACAAAAAAAACAAAUUAUGCUUUGCAAGCAUAGGAAAUAACUAGCCAGAGGUAGGAGAAAAUAAGCAUUCUUCCCUCUUACUUUAUUUUAUGAUUACUAAAUUCUAGAAGAAAUCAAAGAUAACUCAGCAUAUGCUAUGGCCUUGAGUAAGGAAAGACAGUCUGGACGCCGCACAAGAAGGAAGACUAAGUUAAAGGUACAAAACUGCAUUCUGGUCUUUGUCUUUAAAUGUAAUUGAUAAAAUCUGUUCCAUCAUUAUAAACAUAGAUGCUUUCUUUUUGUCUUUUGAGGGCUGAACCAGAAGCAUAUGGAAGCUCCCAGGCUAGGGGUCGAAUCGGUGCUGCAUACACCACAGCAACGCAGAAUCCAAGUCCUGUCUUCGACCUACACCACAGCUCACAACACCACCAGAUCCUGAACCCAUUGAGUGGGGCCAGAGAUCGAACCCACAUCCUCAUGGAGAGAGUUGGGUUUGUUACUGCUGAGCCACGACCCAACUUCCAUGGAUGCUAUUGUAACUACAAAUGUGUCGGCCCACGGAUCCAGUCUAGGUCUUCAUUAGAGCAUAUUUUAGAAGGACGUGCUCUAUGCCCAUCGUGCACUGAGGGAUGACAAAUGAACCUUUCUCAGACUACGCAGGGAGUAGCAUCAGGCGGAUCUAGUUUCAAUCUUUUGCUUUUAAAGCUAAAGAGGGUCAAGUUGGGAUACCAGGGGAGUGUUCUUAUGGCUCAGGAGGUUAAGCAACCAGUGUUAUCACUGCAGCUGCUGGGGUCGCUGCUUCGGCUCUGGUGCAAUCCCUGGCCUGGGAACUUCCACAUGCCUCAGGCAUAGCCAAAAAAACAAUAAAUAAAAUCAACUUUUCUGUGCAUACAUAUUUACAGGGAUCAUUUAAAGGAAAAGAAAAAAUAAAAUAAGCACUUUCCCAACGAGUUUCAGUAUGUUCAAAUUCUGGUAGAAAUAAAGAUGCGCACAAAACUCAGGCAGGAAGAAAGAAAAAGCCGUGAUGAUCACAAUCACAAUUUCGUAUUACUCCCAACUUGGAUUCAUGGAAAGAAACUGUCUUAAGUCUAAAGACGUAAAAACAAAAUUUUUUUCCAUGAAAUAAAGAUAUAUCAUUUCUAUUCCAAAAUGGAAGUCUCAUCUUCCCUUAGAUUUUAAUUGAGAAUACACCUAAAAAAAAUAAAUCAGGAGAAAACAGUAUAGUCCCACAAUUUCCAGCCAUAUCUAGGAGUGUGUCCCACUGCUAGGCAGUAAAACAGGGUUUGAAAUUACUUCAUACCAGUUAGAUUCCUUUCCAGAUUAAAACAAACACAAAAUAGGAAAUGUUAAUUGGCAGUAAGACUACGGAGCAAAACAUUUAGUGUUUUAUUUCUUAGAAUGGCAGGUCUCUAGCAAAUUUAUGGCUUUCAAAACUAAUAUAACCAAAAUGUACC